AUUGAACGCUGGCGGCAGGCCUAACACAUGCAAGUCGAACGGUAACAGGAAACAGCUUGCUGUUUCGCUGACGAGUGGCGGACGGGUGAGUAAUGUCUGGGAAACUGCCUGAUGGAGGGGGAUAACUACUGGAAACGGUAGCUAAUACCGCAUAACGUCGCAAGACCAAAGAGGGGGACCCUCGGGCCUCUUGCCAUCGGAUUUGCCCAGAUGGGAUUAGCUUGUUGGUGGGGUAACGGCUCACCAAGGCGACGAUCCCUAGCUGGUCUGAGAGGAUGACCAGCCACACUGGAACUGAGACACGGUCCAGACUCCUACGGGAGGCAGCAGUGGGGAAUAUUGCACAAUGGGCGCAAGCCUGAUGCAGCCAUGCCGCGUGUAUGAAGAAGGCCUUCGGGUUGUAAAGUACUUUCAGCGGGGAGGAAGGGAGUAAAGUUAAUACCUUUGCUCAUUGACGUUACCCGCAGAAGAAGCACCGGCUAACUCCGUG
rnacentral:rRNA from 1 species